ACCUCGUAGUUUAGUGGUAGAACACUCGCCAAGAAUAAACGCGAGAGGGCCGGGGUUCGAUUCCCCGCGAGCGAG